AAUCAUUCUCAAAGGUCCAUUCAACUUUGCAAAUGCACAAUGACGUUGGAGCGAGUGGCAACCUGAACGUAUUCCUAGUUACCAAUAAGCUUCACCUCCGGCCCACAUAACAUUCAUUACUAUCUCUACUCCUAAUGAAGCAUUUGGUAGUCUUCGCCGGUUAAUUUUCGUCCCACCACUUUUGUCCGGGUUUUUUUUUGUCCGGUGCUCCUGUUGGUUUUCCCCCUCCGCAUCGCCGCUCGAUCCAACUCCUCCCUCUCCCUCGGUCUCGCCUCUCCUAUGGUUCGCCGCCCGCCGCCGUACCCCGCCGCCCUGCUCCGCUGUUGCCCCUCCCUCCGCCUGCCUCGCCCCUGCUCUAGGGUUCGCCGCCCGCCGCCGCCCCCCGCCGCCCUGCUCCGCUGUUGCCCCUCCCUCCGCCUGCCUCGCCCCCCUCCCCUACACUCACCCCUGCCCGAUCUGGAUCUGGAUGAGGCGUUGCCUCCCGUUCCUCUCAUCGCGUCCCUUGUGCCAGCCAUGGGAGAGGGGGGAGGAAGAAGGGGAGGGAGAGCAAGGAGGAGGAGGAGGAAGAAGAAGAACCUUCUCUGUAGAAUCAGCAGAUCGAUCUCGUCGAUGCUGCAGGGCCUGGCCCGUUCCAUGUCUCUGGGAAAGGAGAGGAAGGUGGAGGAGGAGCACCAGGGGACGGUGCUGCGAUCGUCGGGGACGCUCUGGGGCGAGGGCUCCGAGACGUUCGCCGCCGCGUGCUGGACGUACAAGCACGAGCACCACCGCUGGCCGUUUCCUCCAUACUGACAGAUCGCCGUGUCGCUAUCCUUGUAUGUUGUAGCCAGGAGGAGAGGUAGGCGCGGUGCCGCUCAUGGCCGUGGCGUCGUGCUUGUGGUCGUGGUGAAUUGGAGAGAACGGCCUCCUAUCCAUGCACGUCCAUCUACUGCGGGCCUUCCCUCUUCCAGCAACAUCAUGUCUCAGUUUGCCACCGCCAUUCAUCCGGAUGGCCCUGGACAUACAUACCAGCACCACACCCUUCCUUCUGUUGCUGGGGUAAGGAUGGCAGUUUUACCCACAGGUACGGGUACCCGCGUGGGCAGGGUAUGGGCACAAUUUUAUACCCAUGGAUAAUACCCAUACCCUGCCCGUUAAGUCAUGGGUAGGGUACGGGUAUAACCUUGUACCCGCGGGUAUACCCAUACCCUGCCCGCUUGUAAAUUAAUGUUAAGUUGUCAUCAAUUAAUCAUUAAUUUAUCAUGUGGCUUGUCUACUCCUAUUGAUUUAUGAGUAUGUUGUACUCAUCUACCAGUUAUUGAGUUGAGAUAAUUGUUUUUUGUCAAAUGUGCUACCAAUGAGCGUAAAAAUGUGAACAACUCAUGUACUAUUUGUUCUACCCGCUGGUACUCAAUGGGUACGGGUACCCGUCGGGUAUGGGUAUGGGUAAAGUUUCAUACCCAUGGGUACGGGUAUGGGUAGAAUUUUGUACCCACCGACUAUACGGGUAUGGGUAUGGUAUUGCUCUACCCUGCCCAUACCCUACCCAUUGCCAUCCUUAUGCUGGGGACGUAGCUAUCAUCGGUCCUCUGUUGUCUGCAGCCCGGACGUACAAGCCGUCGAAGCUGACGUUCCUUUGCACAGGCUGCACAGACGGGCGUACAAGUUGUUGCUUCUGUUCAUCCACGCACCAGUGACUCACAUACGUUGCUAGCUGUGUGCAGGGUAUCAUUAAGUUCACAUGUAUUUAUCAGAUUGUGUAACUAGCUUUUGUUACUUGGUCCAUCCCUAGGAAGCAAUAAGAUUACUUCAGUAUGCAUAUACACGUUGCUAGCUACGUGCAGGGUAUCUCAAGUUCACAAAUAUUUAUGAGAUUGUUUUACUAGCUUUUGUUACUAUUUGGCCCUUCAGUAUGCAGAUUAAUCUCAACAUUCAUAAGAAUCUUCAAAAGAAAAAUGGAGAUGAAAAUACUUCAAGUAGUUCUGAGUGGAGAUCAUUUGAUAGCAUUUUGUUGUAGCAUCUACAGAAGACCUUUUCAUUUCAUUUUACCGAGAAACGCUGGAGGGUUCAUGUUUUCCUUAUCCAGGACAUUUUGAAGGUUCCUGAUGCAUUCUUACAAGAAGCAACAAUCCAGAGGUUAGUCAAUGUUUGUCGGGAUUUUUCAUUUCUAAAGGUACACUAGCGACUAUUGUACAUAUAACUAAUUGUUUGCUUGCUUUCUUAAUCACGUACAUCAAUAUAAUCCUCCAUGCUAAAAACACUCAUUCUAGAUUGCGUGAGCUUGUCAUACCAUUUUUUGUAAAGACAAAAAAAUAAUUUAUACUCCACAACUUGAUGCAUUGUUGUUGCAUCAAUAUUUCCGGAAUUAGCAAGUCAAUUUUUUAGGUGUAUGUUUGCUAAAUUGAUGAACACAGUUGGUCUCUUUAAUCAGGAAAAAAAUAGCAUGAUUCUCUAAGCUACAUGAAUUACUCUUCAGCGGCAUUUCAUAUCAGUGGUGUGUUACUUGCUAUACUGCCUAUGUGUGUGUACUGAAGUUUUCUUCUUUUGAAUAUGUAGGUAAUUAGUGAAAUGAUAAGAGGGUCAAUUAAUGGUGUUCAAUUUUUCCUUCAAGCAAACAGUUUGUACCCAAAUACAAUACUAUUCAGUAUCAUCCUGAAACCAAUAUCUCAAAGAUUCAUUCUUUAUGAAUUCGAGCCUUGGCAAACCACUCCCAUUACAAGGUUCCAUAAACAUGCUGGAUUUGUAUGUCGAUAUUCGAAUUAAUUGGGCAAAAAAUAGAUAUAUUUACUAUGAUGUUUUUACAUAUUCAGGUGAAUAGCAUCCUGUUUUUACUUCAAAUAAUUAACAAAAAAUUAAAGACCGUGAUUAUGUUGUUUAUUAAAUUCCUCUUGCAUUAUCUUUGAUGAAAAGUAUAUUAUCUGUCAGCAACGAUAUGUUAAUAUGGGCAAAGGAAAGUCAAAAUAUGUUAUCUCAGGCCAAUAUUCUGAAAUUAGUGAAGCCCUAUAGUAUUUACUGGAUUGAUCACGACACUGCUCAUAUUUUUUGGUACUUUGAUAUCUGAAAUAUUUUUUUUAAUCAUGAGCUGAGGUGAUGAUGGGUUGCAGGCACGCGCCCCGUCCUUCUCUUGUUCAAGGUUUGGCGGAAGCAUUAAGUUUGGAGAGGAAACUAACAUGAAUGACCAGUCGAUCUUUUUCUGACCUUUUUCUCCCUUUCUAAUUACUCCUCUCAUUUCCUCUGUUCUUCUCAGCCAUCUCCUUUUCUAUCGCCAUAUCGAUCUCUAAACUCACUUCAUCUUUUUUCUUCCAAUUCAUCCGAUUGUUGUGUUCCAAGCACACAUGUCAUAAAGCAUCACCUGCUGCUUGUUCGAACAUGUUUGAUGUACUUACAUAUUAACAUGUUUGAUGUACUUACACAUUAACAAAACUGAUCAGUAACAUUCAUGCCGAAUUAUUUGGGUUUCGUCCUCUGCUUUUUUACUGUUUAUUUAUUGAUGAAGAUAGCAGAUGUUCAUGUUUUUAAAUAUAGUUACAUGUGUUUGUCCAAAAAAAAUAUAGUUACAUGUGCUUCCAGUUGGUAGAGAUCAAAAAAUUAACUCACUGAUGCAAGGAAAAAGAGCUCUUUUAUAGACACUGCCAGCAGUGGAUACAUGGUGAGCCUUUCUGAAUGUGUUUUAUGAAAUAAGGCUAAUUUAAGGUCAUUUUUUUGUUGGAUAAAAAACAGACAAUUGGUUAUUGGGUUAUUCGUGUUUGUUCUCAAUUUCUCAUGUCGCUCUCUUCUCUGUCCAGGGAUACGGGUGCCAGGACGACACCACCUUCUGCGGCGUCUGCCUUCCUCUCCUCCAGCGGGAGAGGCCCCUGCCUUCCUCUCCUCCUGCGUGGUGGCAGAUGGCCGCAGUUAAUGGCGCUCCUGCGAGCGGGGGACACGAGUGCGGUGCAGACAGUGACCAGGUGUGAUGAGACAGCCGCCGGCCGCCUGUGGGCGGUUCUUUCAUGUGUUGUAGACCGUGCCAUUCUAUGACGAGGAUGUGUUCCAGGAAAUGGAAACAAAUGAAACUGGAUGCUCAUCAUGUAUUUCAUGAAGAAAUUUGCAUGUCUGGGGCAUGUCUCCGUAUAAAAGGCCGAUCUCUGCACAACAGUAGUUUCUUCAGGUUGUGGUGUCCGAUUUUUUUCAUCUCAUUUUGCCAUGCACUAGAUUACAUGGUUAAUACUGUCACUAUGCAAUAACUGGGAAGAUUACGGAGGGAAGGGACAAUAUGUAAGAUGGGGCAAGGAGGCUGGUGUAGAUCUUGCUUCUCCUGACGACUUCAUAUCUGAUGCAACACUUCAGAGCUACUACAAAAACUUUUUUUAGGAAGCUACUACAAAGCUUUUUUUUCGGAAGCUACUACAAAGCUUUUGUUCAGGUAAAUUUCUAGCUUAAAUGGCCAUCGGAAAUGGAUUCCUGUUAUCCGUCAUGCUUGGUGACUAAUGGAUAUCAUCAUAUGCAUAGCUAUAUGAAAUGCUACCAGCAAACAGUUACUGUAGUUUACCAGCUCUGAAUUCUGUAGUCGUGUUUUCCUGUUAUACCAGACUUUCAAUAUUGUGCAUAUGUUUCCUUUUCUUAGCUUGUUUUUUCAAGAGUAAACACAAUCACAAAUGAGGCCUACAAAGACGAUCCUACCAUUCUUAAUUGGACGAUGAUCGUCGAGUCAUGCUGCCCUUCACAUCCAUCAGGCGAUACACUCUAGGUCCUUAUUGCGGUCUUAUUUUUGGGACUUUGAAACCAUCUUCCAUCACGUCUAAUAUUGUUGUAUUUCAUAAUAGUAAUUGUUCAGCCUUUGACUGACAUAUGGAUGAUAUUUGUAAUAUAUUUCUUUCUUCCAUAUUACCAGGAAAUAUGUCGAAGCACAGAAUAUAUUCCAUUUGCAGUGGACUAACAGAACAACACAACACAUAAAAAGAGGAGUAUAAGUGGAAACCUUUCUUUCUCUUUAAAUUCUUGAGGACGGUAACAUUAUGAUGAAGGUGGAACCAUAGAGAGAUGUGUAUUUUUAAUUAAGAUAUUUUCAGGAGUACCUUUGCAAAGUUGAUAUAUCUUUCUUUUACAAGAUAUGGUUGCACUUGCUUCAUCUACAUAGGCCGUCUGGAAUGCCAUGAGGCCGGGAUUGGUGUAGGAAAUCUUCAAAGCUAUUAUAUUGGUCUCAAGAAACUUGCAAUACAUCAAUGCAUUUUUAUUUUUAUUUUUUUGCUGACACCACAGCUACCACCUCUUCACUAAAUGACAAAGGUUGCCAGCAACUGCACAUGGAAAGACUGAAUGUUAUAUUCUGUCUACUAAUCAAUAAGGAGGGAGAUCAAAUUACUGCUCACAAAUAUUCACCUGAUUGAUUUUGAAAAGAGGGUUAAAAAUGGUGUUAUGAAUGAAGAUGGAUGGGGGUGAGGGCUGGGAGAAAGAUGUUGUAUUGCAAGAAGAAGUUGGUUAAGAAGACUGAUGAUUAUGAGAAUGAAGGACACGAACUUUUGAAUUAGACCAAUUGUUUGAUCGAUCAUUUUUGUUCUCUUGAAAACGAUGUAUGGUCAAUUUUAGUAUUCUGAUGUGAUUGAAGAAUAUAGGAGGGACAAAGAGAUGUGCUAUUGGCAGGACAAUUAUGACUCUCUAUUCAGGUAUUCAGCUAUGAUUCUCCAUGGUCGUGCUUCUCCUGUUCACCUGGAAGUUUAUUGAUGGGAGGGAAGCCACUUCUGCUUUGAUGAUUUCUUGGAAGUUCAGCUAGGUGAAUUUACAAUCAGUAUAUACAAGUCAGGUUGUUUGCGAGAGAAUUUCAUUCCCUAGAAUCAUUGUCAUUGUUGUUGCCUACAAGGUACUUGAAGAAAAUGCCCGAGACAUAUUUUAAGAAGUAUAAUUCAGCACUAAGGCUAUUAUUACAACGAUGGAAUCUUUGUUGUGGUAGUUAUGCCUCCAAAUGCGUCGAUCCAUAUCGGCUUACUGAAGUAAACUUUUUUUUUUGUCGAUUUCUAUUGGCUUACUGACAGCUUAUUUAUUCUUUUCGAAUUUUAAUUCCUUGAUCUUUGCCUCUGCCCAUCUCCAUAUCACACAGAAGGUGCUCAGUGCAAUGCAUCAUGCAGUGAUUCCAUGAUAGCUAGGAAUUAGGAACUGCCCAUCAUUUGUAUGUUUCUACAAUUUUCCUGCUUGUUGGAACAUGUUUGAUGUACUUACACAUUAACAAAAAUGAUCUGUAACAUUCAUGAAAAUA